rnacentral:rRNA from 1 species
AGUGAACGCUGACGGUAGGCCUAACACAUGCAAGUCGAACGGCAGCACAGUAAGAGCUUGCUCUUACGGGUGGCGAGUGGCGGACGGGUGAGGAAUACAUCGGAAUCUACUUUUUCGUGGGGGAUAACGUAGGGAAACUUACGCUAAUACCGCAUACGACCUACGGGUGAAAGCAGGGGAUCUUCGGACCUUGCGCGAUUGAAUGAGCCGAUGUCGGAUUAGCUAGUUGGCGGGGUAAAGACCCACCAAGGCGACGAUCCGUAGCUGGUCUGAGAGGAGGAUCAGCCACACUGGAACUGGGACACGGUCCAGACUCCUACGGGAGGCAGCAGUGGGGAAUAUUGGACAAUGGGCGCAAGCCUGAUCCAGCCAUACCGCGUGGGUGAAGAAGGCCUUCGGGUUGUAAAGCCCUUUUGUUGGGAAAGAAAAGCAGCAGGUUAAUACCACGCUGUUCUGACGGUACCCAAAGAAUAAGCACCGGCUAACUUCGUG